GACGAACGCUGGCGGCGUGCUUAACACAUGCAAGUCGAACGCUGAAGACCUGGCUUUUGUUGGGUUGGAUGAGUGGCGAACGGGUGAGUAACACGUGAGUAACCUGCCCUCUUCUUUGGGAUAACGCCCGGAAACGGGUGCUAAUACUGGAUAUUCACUGUUCUUCGCAUGGGGGUUGGUGGAAAGGUUUGUUCUGGUGGGGGAUGGGCUCGCGGCCUAUCAGCUUGUUGGUGGGGUGAUGGCCUACCAAGGCUUUGACGGGUAGCCGGCCUGAGAGGGUGACCGGUCACAUUGGGACUGAGAUACGGCCCAGACUCCUACGGGAGGCAGCAGUGGGGAAUAUUGCACAAUGGGCGAAAGCCUGAUGCAGCGACGCCGCGUGAGGGAUGGAGGCCUUCGGGUUGUAAACCUCUUUCGCUCAUGGUCAAGCCGCAACUGUGGGUUGUGGUGAGGGUAGUGGGUAAAGAAGCGCCGGCUAACUACGUG
rnacentral:rRNA from 1 species